rfam:Schistosoma rodhaini strain Burundi genome assembly, scaffold: SROB_scaffold0006779
ACCCAGCUGACGAGUCCCAAGUAGAACGGAACGCUCGUCCUGGAU